rnacentral:rRNA from 1 species
UACGGGGGGGGGCAAGCGUUGUUCGGAAUUACUGGGCGUAAAGGGCUCGUAGGCGGCCAACUAAGUCAGACGUGAAAUCCCUCGGCUUAACCGGGGAACUGCAUCUGAUACUGGAUGGCUUGAGUUCGGGAGAGGGAUGCGGAAUUCCAGGUGUAGCGGUGAAAUGCGUAGAUAUCUGGAGGAACACCGGUGGCGAAGGCGGCAUCCUGGACCAACACUGACGCUCAUGCACGAAAGCGUGGGGAGCAAACAGG